UGAGGAAUAUUGGGCAAUGCCCGCAAGGGUGACCCAGCAACGCCGCGUGGAGGCUGAAUGUCGUACGAUUGUAAACUCCUGUUAGCGGGGAAGAAUAGUACCGGUUGGACCGGUAUAUGACUGUACCCUCAGAGAAAGCCCCGGCUAACUACGUGCCAGCAGCCGCGGUAAUACGUAGGGGGCAAGCGUUGUCCGGAUUUACUGGGUGUAAAGGGCGCGCAGGCGGGAUAAAAAGUCAGUGGUGAAAUCCUACAGCUUAACUGUAGAACUUCCUUUGAUACUUUUAUUCUUGAGUUCGGGAGAGAGAGACGGAAUUCCAGGUGUAGUGGUGAAAUACGUAGAUAUCUGGAAGAACACCAGGUGCGAAGGCGGUCUCUUGGUCCGACACUGACGCGGAGGCGCGAAAGCGUGGGGAGCAAACA
rnacentral:rRNA from 1 species